rnacentral:rRNA from 1 species
UACGGGGGGGGCAAGCGUUGUUCGGAAUUACUGGGCGUAAAGGGUGCGUAGGCGGCUUUCUAAGUUGGAUGUGAAAACUCUGGGCUCAACCCAGAGACUGCAUCCAAAACUGGAGAGCUUGGGGUUCUGGAGGGGAAGCGGAAUUCCUGGUGUAGCGGUGAAAUGCGCAGACGUAUCAGGAAGAACACCCGUGGCUAAGGCGGCUCCUCUAGUACGGUACUGACGCUGAAGACGCGAAAGCGUGGGGAGCGAACAGG